rnacentral:rRNA from 1 species
AUUGAACGCUGGCGGCAGGCCUAACACAUGCAAGUCGAGCGAGCGGCGGACGGGUGAGUAAUGCCUAGGAAUCUGCCUGGUAGUGGGGGAUAACGCCCGGAAACGGGCGCUAAUACCGCAUACCAUCAGAUGUGCCCUGCUGGGAUUAGCUCGAUGGUGGGGUAACGGCUGACCAAGGGGACGAUCCCUAGCUGGUCUGAGAGGAGGACCAGCCACGCUGGAAGGGAGACACGGUCGAGACUCGUGCUGGAAGGAGCAGUGGGGGAUAUUGGACGAUGGGUGCGCGCCUGAUGCAGCCAUGCCGCGUGUAUGAAGAAGGCCUGGGGGUUGUAAAGUACUUUCAGCGGGGAGGCGUUACCCGCAGAAGAAGCACCGUCUAACUCGAUGCCAGCAGCCGCGGUGAUG